CGCCGUCAGACAUUUUCAAGUCGUAGAAGGUACCGAAUCGUAAGUUCCACAUCUUUUGUGCAAUUUUUCCUGUUUUCUGUCGAAUUUUGUGUUGGUUUUUGGCUUUCUAAAUGAAAAAUCCUUUCGUCAUAUCAGCCUCACUGCUUGCGUAAGCGUGGGAUAAGUCAGUGUGGCUAAGAAUAACCGGAUUUGGCUGAAUUUGUCGCCAGCGCGAUAUGAAAAAUGGCCCAACUUUUGAUAUCGAGCUCCCUUUUUUUCCCCUUCGUCAUGCUUCUCUGCUGCUGGCAAAAUCGCGAAUUUUCCUGCGCCAUAUUUGGCUGGUCGCUAGGGCGUCCCUUGGCACCUGGGAUCCGUAACUUGAUUGAUAAUGUACUUUGCAGUUAAAUUAUUGCGAUAAUAAAAAUUGUGUAGUUUCUUUUUCAAAAACCUUGCUUAAUCCUUGCUUAGCCUAUUGCACUAAUACGAAAGGUCUUUUGAUUACUCAUCUAAUCAUAAGGACAUCGUUUUCAUCAAAAUAUCUGAAAUUCGGCUUCAAAAAAGUGUAUAAUGAACAAUUAAGUGCUCAUAACUUUUGAUAGGGUUGUCAGAUCUUCAAUCUUUUGGACGCGUUGGAAAAGUCUUUUGAUUACCCAUCCAACGAUGGGUCGCAUGACAGAUCCGGACAACGUUUUCAUCAAAAUAUCUGAGAUCCGGCCUCUGAAAAGUGUAUAAAUAACACUUAAGUGCUAAUAACAUUUGUUAGGGUUGUCAGAUCUUAAAAUUUUUUUUCAAUACCUUUCUAAAAAUAUAAAACAUGACGGGUUUUCUUACAAAAACCACCCUUUUUACAAUCUUCCGGAAUUAAGUAAAAAUUGUUUUUUAAGCAUAACUUUUGAAGUACUUAACUAAACUUGCUGAUUUUAAAUAGAGACUUAUGGGACCUUAAGACGGAUUGAAUGAGAUCAAAACGCAAAUCCGCUCAGCCAAUCCGGAGAUAAUCGAGUGACAUUUUUUUUCGUUUACAUUUUACUUACUUUUUGUACUCGCUUUCUUGAGAAAUAAAAAUAUUGAACCAAAUGUAUACAUUGUCUAUGCGUUCAAAAAGUAUUUUGAUACUAACGUCAGACUACAAAAAAACAUUUUAAUUUGAAAAACUGUAUGGAAAAAUUCCUACUGGCCUUGGGAGAAAACCGGGAAAAAACUGGGAAAUUGAAAAUCCAAAUCUGGUGGCCACCCUGAUGGAAUCGUAUAUCGAAAGACACGCUGGUAUUUUGGAUCGUCAAAUUAAUAGUGGAGCAAAAUUUUCAUUUAUUAGAUAAUAACCGUGUGUGAGUGUUCUUGUGUGUUAAUCAGAAAGACCUUCCCAUAGCAUCGUUGCUCGGAAGGCUCGCCGACGGGUCUUUUAUGAAAGUCCUCCCCAUAGCAUCGUAGCUCGGGGGGCAUCGAAAAGCAAUACCUUAUCCGGAAAACAAAAAGCUUUGACGGUUGAGUUCGUCGGAUGUGUCGCGUUAGAAAAUGAUUUUGAUUCAGUAAAAAAGUCAGUGCUUUAUUGUUAGUUGAAAAAGACCUUCCCAGAGCUUCGUAGCUCGGAGGGCUCGACGUCGGAUGCAUAUGUGUUAAGUCCUCCCCAUAGCAUCGUAGCUCGGGAGGCAUCGAAAAGCCA